rnacentral:rRNA from 1 species
AGUGAACGCUGGCGGUAGGCCUAACACAUGCAAGUCGAACGGCAGCACAGUAAGAGCUUGCUCUUACGGGUGGCGAGUGGCGGACGGGUGAGGAGUACAUCGGAAUCUACUUUUUCGUGGGGGAUAACGUAGGGAAACUUACGCUAAUACCGCAUACGACCUACGGGUGAAAGCAGGGGAUCUUCGGACCUUGCGCGAUUGAAUGAGCCGAUGUCGGAUUAGCUAGUUGGCGGGGUAAAGGCCCACCAAGGCGACGAUCCGUAGCUGGUCUGAGAGGAUGAUCAGCCACACUGGAACUGAGACAUGGUCCAGACUCCUACGGGAGGCAGCAGUGGGGAAUAUUGGACAAUGGGCGCAAGCCUGAUCCAGCCAUACCGCGUGGGUGAAGAAGGCCUUCGGGUUGUAAAGCCCUUUUGUUGGGAAAGAAAAGCAGCAGGUUAAUACCCCGCUGUUCUGACGGUACCCAAAGAAUAAGCACCGGCUAACUUCGUG